rnacentral:misc_RNA from 1 species
GAUGAAGAACGUAGCGAAAUGCGAUACGUAAUGUGAAUUGCAGAAUUCAGUGAAUCAUCGAAUCUUUGAACGCAUAUUGCGCUCUCUGGUAUUCCGGAGAGCAUGCUUGUUUGAGUAUCAGUAAACACCUCAACUCCCUUUUCUUUUUUGAAAUUGGAGCUGGACUUGAGUGAUCCCAACGCUUUCUUCCAAGAAAGUGGCGGGUUGCUUGAAAUGCAGGUGCAGCUGAACUUUUCUCUGAGCUAUAAGCAUAUCUAUUUAGUCUGCCUAAAAAACAGAUUAUUACCUUUGCUGCAGCUAACAUAAAGGAGACUAGUUCUUGUGCUGACUGAUGCAGGAUUCACAGAGACAGCUUCGGCUGACUUUGUAAACUCGAUCUCAAAUCAAGUAAGACUACCCGCUGAACUUAAGCAUAUCAAUAAGCAGAGGA